UACGAAGGGGGCUAGCGUUGCUCGGAAUCACUGGGCGUAAAGCGCACGUAGGCGGCUUUUUAAGUCGGGGGUGAAAUCCUGGAGCUCAACUCCAGAACUGCCUUUGAUACUGAGAAGCUUGAGUCCGGGAGAGGUGAGUGGAACUGCGAGUGUAGAGGUGAAAUUCGUAGAUAUUCGCAAGAACACCAGUGGCGAAGGCGGCUCACUGGCCCGGUACUGACGCUGAGGUGCGAAAGCGUGGGGAGCAAACAGG
rnacentral:rRNA from 1 species